rnacentral:rRNA from 1 species
UACGAAGGGGGGCUAGCGUUGCUCGGAAUGACUGGGCGUAAAGGGCGCGUAGGCGGAUGGCACAGUCAGAUGUGAAAUUCCUGGGCUUAACCUGGGGGGCUGCAUUUUGAUACGUGUGAUCUGGAGUGAGGAAGAGGGUUGUGGAAUUCCCAGUGUAGAGGUGAAAUUCGUAGAUAUUGGGAAGAACACCGGUGGCGAAGGCGGCGACCUGGUCCUUAACUGA